AUUGAACGCUGGCGGCAGGCCUAACACAUGCAAGUCGAGCGAGCGGCGGACGGGUGAGUAAUGUAUGGGGACUGCCCGAUCGAGGGGGAUAACUACUGGAAACGGUGGCUAAUACCGCAUACUAUCGGAUAACCCAUAUGGGAUUAGCUAGUAGGUGGGGUAAAGGCUAACCUAGGGGACGAUCGCUAGCUGGUCCGAGAGGCGGAUGGGCCAAACUGGGACUGAGACACGGCCCAGACUCCAACGGAGGAGGCAGUGGGGAAUAUUGCACAAUGGGCGCAAGCCGGAUGCAGCCAUGCCGCGUGUAUGAAGAAGGCCUUAGGGUUGUAAAGUACUUUCAGCGGGGAGGCGUUACCCGCAGAGGAAGCACCGGCUAACUCCGUGCCAGCAGCCGCGGUAAUAC
rnacentral:rRNA from 1 species